CUGCGUAUUCGCUCCAGGAUGGGACUGCGUCCGAUCAGGCUGUUGGCGGGGUAAUGGCCCACCAAACCUGUGACCGGUACGGGCCUUGAGAGAGGUGGCCCGGAGAUGGACACUGAGAGAACGGUCCAGGUCCUACGGGGCGCAGGGGGGGCGAAACCUUCGCAAUGCGCGAAAGCGUGACGAGGUUAAUCCGAGUGGCCCCCGCUGAGGGGGUCUUUUGUCAGCUGUAAAUAGGCGGGCGAAUAAGGGGAGGGCAAGCCUGGUGUCAGCCGCCGCGGUAAUACCAGCUCCUCGAGUGGUCGGCGCGAUUAUUGCGCCUAAAGCAUCCGUAGCCGGUUCCGUAGGUCCUCUGUUAAAUCCACCCGCUUAACGGGCGACCUGCAGAUGAUACCUCGUUACUAGGAAGCGGUAGAGGCGGACGGCACUCCCCCUGUACGGGUAAAAUCCCUUCGCUCCCCGGAAAA
rnacentral:rRNA from 1 species